CCUACGGGUCGCACCAGUAGGGAAUCUUCGGCAAUGGACGAAAGUCUGACCGAGCAACGCCGCGUGGGUGAAGAAGGUUUUCGGAUCGUAAAACUCUGUUGUCAGAGAAGAACAAGGACGUUAGUAACUGAACGUCCCUUGACGGUAUCUAACCAGAAAGCCACGGCUAACUACGUGCCAGCAGCCGCGGUAAUACGUAGGUGACAAGCGUUGUCCGGAUUUAUUGGGCGUAAAGCGAGCGCAGGCGGUUUCUUAAGUCUGAUGUGAAAGCCCCCGGCUCAACCGGGGAGGGUCAUUGGAAACUGGGAGACUUGAGUGCAGAAGAGGAGAGUGGAACUCCAUGUGUAGCGGUGAAAUGCGUAGAUAUAUGGAGGAACACCAGUGGCGAAGGCGGCUCUCUGGUCUGUAACUGACGCUGAGGCUCGAAAGCGUGGGGAGCAAACAGGAUUAGAUACCCUAGUAGUC
rnacentral:rRNA from 1 species